rnacentral:rRNA from 1 species
GACGAACGCUGGCGGCGUGCUUAACACAUGCAAGUCGAACGGAAAGGCCCUGCUUUUGUGGGAUGUUCGAGUGGCGAACGGGUGAGUAACACGUGAGUAACCUGCCCUUGACUUUGGGAUAACUUCCGGAAACUGGGGCUAAUACCGGAUAGGAUCUCCUGCUGCAAGGUGGGGGUUGGAAAGUUUCGGCGGUUGGGGUUGGACUCGCGGCUUAUCAGCUUGCUGGUGGGGUAGUGGCUUACCAAGGCUUUGACGGGUAGCCGGCCUGAGAGGGUGAACGGCCACAUUGGGACUGAGAUACGGCGCAGACUCCUACGGGAGGCAGCAGUGGGGAAUAUUGCACAAUGGGCGGAAGCCUGAUGCAGCAACGCCGCGUGCGGGAUGACGGCUUUCGGGUUGUAAACCGCUUUCGCCUGUGACGAAGCGUGAGUGACGGUAAUGGGUAAAGAAGCACCGGCUAACUACGUG